rnacentral:rRNA from 1 species
ACCUUUUGGAAGAAGUUGUCGAAGGUGGAAUCAAUAACUGGGGUGAAGUCGUAACAAGGUAGCCGUAUCGGAAGGUGCGGCUGGAUCACCUCCUUU